UUCUCUUUUCGAGGUGUUGUAGCUGGCUUAAGAGGGCAGAUGGAAGCAUCUGCCUCAGGGGCAGGUGUCUCACACAGGCUCAAAGGACCAAACUGCACCCUGAAGAACAGCACGAGAAGGGGGCUGGUCAUGAGCUUGGUUGGAGUGGAAUAGCCAAGUAGCGCGAGGUGACUACAGAGGGUCUCUGUCUUGCUUUGCAGGUGCCAUGGCAGGCUCUCCACAGAAGUGGCUGAGGAUUUGAGAUAAGGCUGGAGAGCGGCAAGGAGCAGCACAUGCAGUGAUGGCUU